rnacentral:rRNA from 1 species
CCUACGGAAGGCAGCAGUGAGGAAUAUUGGUCAAUGGGCUUACGCCUGAACCAGCCAAGUAGCGUGAAGGAUGACUGCCCUACGGGUUGUAAACUUCUUUUAUAAAGGAAUAAAGUGAGGCACGUGUGCCUUUUUGUAUGUACUUUAUGAAUAAGGAUCGGCUAACUCCGUGCCAGCAGCCGCGGUAAUACGGAGGAUCCGAGCGUUAUCCGGAUUUAUUGGGUUUAAAGGGAGCGUAGAUGGGUUGUUAAGUCAGUUGUGAAAGUUUGCGGCUCAACCGUAAAAUUGCAAUUGAUACUGGCAGCCUUGAGUACAGUUGAGGUAGGCGGAAUUCGUGGUGUAGCGGUGAAAUGCUUAGAUAUCACGAAGAACUCCGAUUGCGAAGGCAGCCUACUAAACUGCCACUGACAUUGAUGCUCGAAAGUGUGGGUAUCAAACAGGAUUAGAUACCCUUGUAGUC